GACGAACGCUGGCGGCGUGCUUAACACAUGCAAGUCGAACGGAAAGGCCCUGCUUUUGUGGGGUGCUCGAGUGGCGAACGGGUGAGUAACACGUGAGUAACCUGCCCUUGACUUUGGGAUAACUUCAGGAAACUGGGGCUAAUACCGGAUAGGAGCUCCUGCUGCAUGGUGGGGGUUGGAAAGUUUCGGCGGUUGGGGAUGGACUCGCGGCUUAUCAGCUUGUUGGUGGGGUAGUGGCUUACCAAGGCUUUGACGGGUAGCCGGCCUGAGCGGGUGACCGGCCACAUUGGGCCUGCGAUACGGCCCAGACUCCUACGGGAGGCAGCAGUGGGGAAUAUUGCACAAUGGGCGGAAGCCUGAUGCAGCAACGCCGCGUGCGGGAUGACGGCCUUCGGGUUGUAAACCGCUUUCGCCUGUGCCGAAGCGUGAGUGACGGUAAUGGGUAAAGAAGCACCGGCUAACUACGUG
rnacentral:rRNA from 1 species